rnacentral:rRNA from 1 species
AUUGAACGCUGGCGGCAGGCCUAACACAUGCAAGUCGAGCGGAUGAAGGGAGCUUGCUCCUGGAUUCAGCGGCGGAAGGGUGAGUAAUGCCUAGGAAUCUGCCUGGUAGUGGGGGAUGACGUCCGGAGACGGGCGCUAAUACCGCAUACGUCCUGAGGGAGAAAGUGGGGGAUCUUCGGACCUCACGCUAUCAGAUGAGCUUAGGUCGGAUUAGCUAGUUGGUGGGGUAAAGGCCUACCAAGGCGAGGAUCCGUAGCUGGUCUGAGAGGAUGAUCAGUCACACUGGAACUGAGACACGGUCCAGACUCCUACGGGAGGCAGCAGUGGGGAAUAUUGGACAGUGGGCGAAAGCCUGAUCCAGCCAUGCCGCGUGUGUGAAGAAGGUCUUCGGAUUGUAAAGCACUUUAAGUUGGGAGGAAGGGCAGUAAGUUAAUACCUUGCUGUUGUGACGUUACCAACAGAAUAAGCACCGGCUAACUUCGUG